UACGUAGGGUGCGAGCGUUAAUCGGAAUUACUGGGCGUAAAGCGUGCGCAGGCGGUUUUGUAAGCCAGAUGUGAAAUCCCCGGGCUUAACCUGGGAAUGGCAUUUGGGACUGCAAGGCUUGAGUGCGGCAGAGGAGACUGGAAUUCCUGGUGUAGCAGUGAAAUGCGUAGAGAUUUGGAGGAACACCAGUGGCGAAGGCGACUUUCUGGUCUGUAACUGACGCUGAGGCGCGAAAGCGUGGGGAGCAAACAGG
rnacentral:rRNA from 1 species